UACGUAGGGGGCAAGCGUUGUCCGGAAUCAUUGGGCGUAAAGAGCGUGUAGGCGGCCCGGUAAGUCCGCUGUGAAAGUCCAGGGCUCAACCCUGGGAUGCCGGUGGAUACUGUCGGGCUCGAGUCCGGAAGAGGAGUGUGGAAUUCCUGGUGUGAGCGGUGAAAUGCGGCAGAUAUCAGGAGGAACACCAAUGGCGAAGGCAGCACUCUGGGACGUGACUGACGCUGAGACGCGAAAGCGUGGGGAGCAAACAGG
rnacentral:rRNA from 1 species